UAAUUAAGUUUCGAAAGCAAGUGUAGUUUAUUUUUACCGAGAAAUCAAAGAAUGCCGGUUUAUGGAAAUUUUUCCAAACAAAAUAUUUUCAAAUUAUUUUUCCUAUGAUGAGGAAUAUUAUAAUUGAGUGAGUGCACUAAUAUUAGUGUCAUAUUUAUUUUAAAUUUUGGUCACAAGAGUUUUGUGUUAUAGCAUUUCAUUAAUUAGUGAUUAGUCUUUCAUGAUUUUAAUACAUGGUUUAUUCCUACACCACAUACUACCUUACACACACAUGAUUAUUUUAAUUAAUUGAGCAUGUGUUUAAUUCCUAACCUUGCAUGAGAAGGGAACAAGUGGCCAAGUGGGCUUUUAAUAUUCAUUAACUACUUAGGAAACUUAGUGACCAAGUUUAGCAUUAAACAAAAGCAUUUCCUCUCUCUUCCUCCCCUCUCAUUUUCGUCCAUCUCUCUCUCCCUCUCUACUCUCACUAUUUUCUUUUCAAUCCAUCAUGGAAGAACACUCCAAAGCUUCUAAACACAUAGAUCCACCAUCACCAUUCCUAGAGCUAGCCUUCAAUCACCAAGAAUCAAGAGAAUGAUCAAGCUAGAGUUUUCAAACCCAAGUGGAUCAAAGAGUUCGCCAUUUUCUUAAAUAUUGAGGGUCCGGGCGACAAGAAGUGAAGCCGAAGAAGAAGCGACUCCACGCUAGCUUAAGAACGUUUGAGGUUGAGCAGCUGAUGGAAUGGAAUGGUGUUGAGCGGGUGGUCCUUUGAUCAUUUCAAGAAAUGUAACCUUGAGUAUACAUCUUCAUAUGUAUAUCUCACACGUUUUCCGCUGCAAAACACUUUGAUUAGGAUAACUCUAUGUUGUGAAGUUGUGACACGUGAUAUUGGGUAACCCACCUUAAUCAGUUCUCCUUUAUGUGUAUGUGUUAUAAGUAUCCAAAUGAUCAUAUAUGAUCCUAACAUUUUAUCUAUAAGUGACAUUUCCAUAUACUCUAAUGUUAAGUAAUUAUCCAUUUCCGUUCCCA